rnacentral:rRNA from 1 species
CCUACGGGUGGCAGCAGUGAGGAAUAUUGGUCAAUGGCCGUAAGGCUGAACCAGCCAAGUCGAGUGAAGGAAGAAGGAUCUAUGGUUUGUAAACUUCUUUUAUAGGGGAAUAAAGGUAUCCACGUGUGGAUAUUUGCAUGUCCCCUAUGAAUAAGCAUCGGCUAACUCCGUGCCAGCAGCCGCGGUAAUACGGAGGAUGCGAGCGUUAUCCGGAUUUAUUGGGUUUAAAGGGUGCGUAGGUUGUUUUUUAAGUCAGCGGUGAAAGUUUGUGGCUCAACCAUAAAAUUGCCGUUGAAACUGGAAGACUUGAGUGUGUUUGAGGUAGGCGGAAUGCGUGGUGUAGCGGUGAAAUGCAUAGAUAUCACGCAGAACUCCGAUUGCGAAGGCAGCUUACUAAGCCAUAACUGACACUGAAGCACGAAAGUGUGGGGAGCAAACAGGAUUAGAUACCCCAGUAGUC